GCUCAGAACGAACGCUGGCGGCAGGCUUAACACAUGCAAGUCGAGCGCCCCGCAAGGGGAGCGGCAGACGGGUGAGUAACGCGUGGGAAUCUACCCUUUUCUACGGAAUAACGCAGGGAAACUUGUGCUAAUACCGUAUAAGCCCUUCGGGGGAAAGAUUUAUCGGGAAAGGAUGAGCCCGCGUUGGAUUAGCUAGUUGGUGGGGUAAAGGCCUACCAAGGCGACGAUCCAUAGCUGGUCUGAGAGGAUGAUCAGCCACAUUGGGACUGAGACACGGCCCAAACUCCUACGGGAGGCAGCWGUGGGGAAUAUUGGACWAUGGGCGCWAGCCUGAUCCAGCCWUGCCGCGUGAGUGAUGAAGGCCCUAGGGUUGUAAAGCUUCUUUCACCGGUGAAGAUAAUGA
rnacentral:rRNA from 1 species